rnacentral:rRNA from 1 species
CCUACGGGAGGCAGCAGUGGGGAAUAUUGCACAAUGGGCGCAAGCCUGAUGCAGCAACGCCGCGUGAACGAUGAAGGUCUUCGGAUCGUAAAGUUCUGUUGCAGGGGAAGAUAAUGACGGUACCCUGUGAGGAAGCCCCGGCUAACUACGUGCCAGCAGCCGCGGUAAUACGUAGGGGGCUAGCGUUAUCCGGAUUUACUGGGCGUAAAGGGUGCGUAGGUGGUCUUUCAAGUCGGUGGUUAAAGGCUACGGCUCAACCGUAGUUAGCCUCCGAAACUGGAAGACUUGAGUGCAGGAGAGGAAAGUGGAAUUCCCAGUGUAGCGGUGAAAUGCGUAGAUAUUGGGAGGAACACCAGUAGCGAAGGCGGCUUUCUGGACUGCAACUGACACUGAGGCACGAAAGCGUGGGUAGCAAACAGGAUUAGAUACCCUGGUAGUCCACGCUGUAAACGAUGAGUACUAGGUGUCGGGGGUUACCCCCCUCGGUGCCGCAGCUAACGCAUUAAGUACUCCGCCUGGGGAGUACGCACGCAAGUGUGAAACUCAAAGGAAUUGACGGGGACCCGCACAAGUAGCGGAGCAUGUGGUUUAAUUCGAAGCAACGCGAAGAACCUUACCUAAGCUUGACAUCCCUUAGACCGGUGUUUAAUCACACCUUCCCUUCGGGGCUGAGGUGACAGGUGGUGCAUGGUUGUCGUCAGCUCGUGUCGUGAGAUGUUGGGUUAA